rnacentral:rRNA from 1 species
GACGAACGCUGGCGGCGUGCUUAACACAUGCAAGUCGAACGUGAUUUUUGUGGAAAUUCUUUCGGGAAUGGAAAUGAAAUGAAAGUGGCGAACGGGUGAGUAACACGUGAGCAACCUACCUUACACAGGGGGAUAGCCGUUGGAAACGACGAUUAAUACCGCAUGAGACCACAGAAUCGCAUGAUAUAGGGGUCAAAGAUUUAUCGGUGUAAGAAGGGCUCGCGUCUGAUUAGCUAGUUGGAAGGGUAAAGGCCUCCAAGGCGACGAUCAGUAGCCGGUCUGAGAGGAUGAACGGCCACAUUGGAACUGAGACACGGUCCAAACUCCUACGGGAGGCAGCAGUGGGGAAUAUUGCACAAUGGGGGGAACCCUGAUGCAGCGACGCCGCGUGAGCGAAGAAGGUUUUCGAAUCGUGAAGCUCUGUCCUAUGAGAAGAUAAUGACGGUAUCAUAGGAGGAAGCCCCGGCUAAAUACGUG